rnacentral:lncRNA from 1 species
ACAAAUCAGCGUUGGUUUUCAGAAGUUGUGUCCAAUUCGAACUCUACAAGGAAAGCCGCAGCAGCUUGUGGGAUUCAUACCAAGGGCUACCAACAAAAGAUUUUUGCUCAAGCCAGUACGCUGCAUGUGUGGUUACCACAUGAAGGCCGAAGCAGGUCAAGGCAAGCACGGAUUUUCUCAAGAGUUACACGUGAAAGACCAAAAUACUACUCUCUACUAUUUAUUGACCACGGACUCGAAGCUCGCCUGCAACAGCCACAACACCGACCUCUGCUACCUCGCGUCCGAGCCGGCCUCGACACAGGUCGAGCUGCUACGCCGCCUCCACUUCACUUGCUCAGGGC